AUAGUAUUCCCUCCGUCCGAAAAAACUUGUUUCAUACUUAUCUCUCAAAUGGAUGUAUCUAACAUUAACUUGAUGCUAGAUACAUCCAUUUGAGAGAUAAGUUUUUUCAGACAGAGGGAGUAUUCA
rfam:Triticum urartu cultivar G1812 contig320165, whole genome shotgun sequence.